ACCAAUUUAGUAAAAUUUUAUUAUAUUGCUUUGAUAUGGCAAAGUUCUUUUUGAUUUGGUA
rnacentral:tRNA from 1 species